rnacentral:ncRNA from 1 species
GUGUCCGGCAGACGACCGGUUAGAUAGGUUGGGAGUGUAAGAGGGUAACGCCCUUUGAGCUGACCAAUACUAAUACACCGAGGCCUUAACCUC